GUAGAGAGAUGGAGGGUGGAGAUGGAGGGGUCGAGAGAUGGAGGGGUGGAGAUGGAGGCGUAGAUAAAUGGAGGGGUGGAGAUGGUAGGGGUAGAGAGAUGGAGGGGUACAGAGAUGGAGGCGUAGAGAGAUGGAGGGGUGGAGAUGGAGGGGUAGAGAGAUGGAGGGGUGGAGAUGGAGGGGUGGAGAGAUGGAGGGGUGGAGAUGGAGGGGUAGAGAGAUGGAGGGGUGGAGAUGGAGGGGUGGAGAGAUGGAGGGGUGGAGAUGGAGGGGUAGAGAGAUGGAGGGGUGGAGAUGGAGGGGUGGAGAUGGAGGGGUAGAGAGAUGGAGGUAGGGUGGAUAGAUGGAGGGGUAGAGAGAUGGAGGGGUGGAGAGAUGGAGGGGUAUAGAUAUGGAGCAGUAGAGAGAUAGAGGUAGGGUGGAGAGAGGUAGGGUGGAUAGAUGGAGGGGUAGAGAGAUGGAGGGGUAGAGAGAUGGAGGGGUCGAGAGAUGGAGGGGUAGAGAGAUGGAGGGGUAGAGAGAAAGAGGGUGGAGUGGGGGAGAGGUACAGAGAUGGAGGGGUGGAGAGUUGGAGGGGUGGAAAUGGAGGGGUAGAGAGAUGGAGGGUGGAGAUGGAGGUGGAGAUAAAUGGAGGGGUGGAGAUGGUAGGGGUAGAGAGAUGGAGGGGUACAGAGAUGGAGGGGUGGAGAUGGAGGGGUGGAGAGAUGGAGGGGUAGAGAGAUGGAGGGGUGGAGAUGGAGGGGUAGAGAGAUGGAGGUAGGGUGGAUAGAUGGAGGGGUA
ensembl:lncRNA